rnacentral:lncRNA from 10 species
UUAUUCAUUUUACUACAGAGCACCUUGUCUGUCAUUUUCUCUGAACUGUUAGCUCCAUAACAACAGGGCUCUGGCUGUUCUUAUGUAUUCUUAGUGCCUGUAAGUAUAUGCGGCACAUAGUGGUGCUUGAAAAUUGUGAAAGCGAGUUACAUUGGACCCCACCUACACUUUAAACAGAAAAUUAACAGGUUUCCCAGGCAGCUGCAGACUUGAAACAGUUCUGUCUGCAGAAUGCUCAACAUGACCCUCUGCUGACUGGAGUAUCUUCAAGUACAAAUCCCUUCAGACCCCAGAAAGUCUGUUCCUUUUUGUAGUAAAAUGAAUCUUUCAAAGGUUUCCCAAACCACUCCUUAUGAUCCAGUGAAUAUUCAAGAGAGCUACAUUUGAAGCCUGUACAAAAGCUUAUCCCUGUAACACAUGUGCCAUAAUAUACAAACUUCUACUUUCGUCAGUCCUUAACAUCUACCUCUCUGAAUUUUCAUGAAUUUCUAUUUCACAAGGGUAAUUGUUUUAUAUACACUGGCAGCAGCAUACAAUAAAACUUAGUAUGAAACUUU